GGGCAGGAAAUUGGGAAUGAAUUGGAUGAACAAAAUGAGAUAAUUGACGACCUUGCCAACCUAGUGGAGAACACAGAUGAAAAACUUCGCACUGAAACCAGGCGGGUAAACAUGGUGGACAGAAAGUCAGCCUCUUGUGGUAAGAGAUAGCUACGUUAUGGCUCUGUUUCUGUCAUAGCUUGUGGAUUUACUCUGCUCUGAGUUUACUGUUUGUCUAAUUACUGUAGGGAUUUGGUUGCUCUUCUGAUACAGGCAGUGCCAUUUGAUGAAGCACUGAAAUUGCUAAACGAUGAUUAAAUCUGGUCAAAAUGAAAUGGAGUUCAGAGGGCGUAUCAUUCAUUGUUUUUUGUUUUUUUUGUUUUUUUUAAUUUAAAAGUCCUUUCUGUGUGUUUACAGAGAUUAAUGGUUUGGAAAAUUGUAUAACAUUAUACUGGUUGGCGGGUUUUAAAGGGGAUCUCACUUGCUUUUGUGCCGUUUUAAAAUAACCACAAGCUUAAUUGAGUUCAAAUCCUAUGUUUAGUGAUGGUAUCUUUGUCAAGUCACCUUACCUCUUGAUACCUUGUAUGUAAAAUGGGGAUUCAUAUGCCAAGAUAAGAAUCGCUUGGAGGGCUUGCUUAAAAAUACUGAUCCUGAGGCCCUCCCCUAGGGAUUCUGAUUGAGUAGAUCUAGGGUGGAGUUCAAGAAUAUUCAUUAUUUAACAAGUGUACCAAGCAGUUCUGCUGCAGGUGCUUGUUCUGCAGAAAUUCUGAUGCAGACUUUUGUGAGGUUUAAAUUGUGUAUUGCUGGCGCACAGUGCCUUGCC
rnacentral:sRNA from 1 species